AUGACAAUUGGAAUAUAUUCGUUAAGCAACCACAGAUUAAACCAAUUGGCUUUUAUCGCAAACACUACCCUUGGUCAGAUGCCAAAAAUUCACUCUUUGAAAAACAAUAGGAACGGAAUAUGGAGAACUCUGCACAUGCCACAGUAUACAAAGACAGAAUCCGGUGGUACUCCAAUCCACCGUGCCUAUUCUCAAAUGGGUAAAGGCUCCAGAAGAGUCAUGGUCAUGGCUGAUGAUGGAAGGAAAGAGCCGCCCGAACGACCGACUUCCCUACGGGCCCCACCGCCCCCCGACCCUGGGGGCGGCAGGGCGACCCCCCCGGGGUCUUUAAACCUCCGCGCCGGAACGCGACAGCUAGGUACCCGGGACAGGAGCGGGGAGGACACGCGAGGCCAGAAAAGCGUGGCAUCGGGACGGGCGAACCCACACGCGACACUCACAUCCCCCCACACGCGACAACCGCCCCAGCCAACGUAGAAAAGCCAGAGCCGCGGCGGGGAUGGGUGCCGGGAGAGCAAAGCGCGCGCCCCGACGACCGAACGCCCCCGGGACGGGUCAAAAACCCGUAACGACGUACCGCCCCUCGUAGACACGGAAGAGCCGGACGGGAAAGAGGCACGACGCCCGCGAGCAGCCGCCGCCGCGGUAGGGUGGCGAGGUCAGAGCCGGACGAGGGAGAGGGGAGGGGGAGGGGAAAUCGGAGGCGGUCCCAGACGGACCCAGACCGACCCCACCCACCCCUUCUCUCACCUCACUCCAGACACCUCGCUCCACACGCGGGCGACGGGACCCGGGACGCACGCGCCUCCCGGCGAGGACACACACAAGACGGGGAGAGCGAGCCACGCCGCCGCUCCUCCACAGUCUCCCGUUAAUGAUCCUUCCGCAGGUUCACCUACGGAAACCUUGUUACGACUUUUACUUCCUCUAGAUAGUCAAGUUCGACCGUCUUCUCAGCGCUCCACCAGGGCCGUGGGCCUCACUAAACCAUCCAAUCGGUAGUAGCGACGGGCGGUGUGUACAAAGGGCAGGGACUUAAUCAACGCAAGCUUAUGGCCCGCACUUACUGGGAAUUCCUCGUUCAUGGGGAAUAAUUGCAAUCCCCGAUCCCCAUCACGAAUGGGGUUCAACGGGUUACCCGCGCCUGCCGGCGUAGGGUAGGCACACGCUGAGCCAGUCAGUGUAGCGCGCGUGCAGCCCCGGACAUCUAAGGGCAUCACAGACCUGUUAUUGCUCAAUCUCGGGUGGCUGAACGCCACUUGUCCCUCUAAGAAGUUGGGGGACGCCGACCGCUCGGGGGUCGCGUAACUAGUUAGCAUGCCAGAGUCUCGUUCGUUAUCGGAAUUAACCAGACAAAUCGCUCCACCAACUAAGAACGGCCAUGCACCACCACCCACGGAAUCGAGAAA